GGGGCCGACAUGGUUUCGACGUGGGUAGCGAAGCGAUUCAGGGCAUACCGAGGACCCGUCACCUCGUUAAUCAAUGGGAAAAAACGUAACUGCAAACGACGAAACGUUCGCACUGGCAGCCUAAGGGCCGCCGUCCUCUGCCUAGUUCACUGACGGACUAGCGUCGCAAGACCGGUAGCAAUACCGCCAGAGGUCAUACACGUCAGUUAAGCCUUGGCGGCGCCACGACGCCGAGGUCGAAAACUUAGUGGAUCGCUGUUGCGUAGCGUGUUCGUCCGCGACAAUACGGUUAAAUCAAAUGACAGAACUAAGUAUGUAGAACUGAUCGUGGAGUACUUGCGGACGCGGGUUCGAUCCCCGCCGGCUCCACCA
rfam:Pandoraea pnomenusa strain RB-44, complete genome.